rnacentral:rRNA from 1 species
UACGUAGGGACCAAGCGUUGUUCGGAUUUACUGGGCGUAAAGGGCGCGUAGGCGGCAUGACAAGUCACUUGUGAAAUCUCCGGGCUUAACUCGGAACGGCCAAGUGAUACUGUCGCGCUAGAGUGCAGAAGGGGCAAUCGGAAUUCUUGGUGUAGCGGUGAAAUGCGUAGAUAUCAGGAGGAACACCGGUGGCGAAGGCGGGUCUCUGGGCAGUAACUGACGCUGAGGAGCGAAAGCGUGGGGAGCGAACAGG